rnacentral:rRNA from 1 species
CCUACGGGGGGCUGCAGUAGGGAAUCUUCCGCAAUGGACGAAAGUCUGACGGAGCAACGCCGCGUGAGUGAUGAAGGUUUUCGGAUCGUAAAGCUCUGUUGUUAGGGAAGAACAAGUGCCGUUCAAAUAGGGCGGCACCUUGACGGUACCUAACCAGAAAGCCACGGCUAACUACGUGCCAGCAGCCGCGGUAAUACGUAGGUGGCAAGCGUUGUCCGGAAUUAUUGGGCGUAAAGGGCUCGCAGGCGGUUUCUUAAGUCUGAUGUGAAAGCCCCCGGCUCAACCGGGGAGGGUCAUUGGAAACUGGGGAACUUGAGUGCAGAAGAGGAGAGUGGAAUUCCACGUGUAGCGGUGAAAUGCGUAGAGAUGUGGAGGAACACCAGUGGCGAAGGCGACUCUCUGGUCUGUAACUGACGCUGAGAGCGAAAGC